UCCGAGUUGUCCCCGGCAGUCCCAUUAGAGUCCCCGACUUUACUCGCUGGCAACUAAUGGCAGGGGUUGCGCUCGUUGCGGCACUUAAGCCAACACCUCACGGCACGAGCUGACGACAGCCAUGCAGCACCUGUGCUAGCCCUAUAACGACACGGGCUUUCACCCGCUUUUCCCAUGAUGUCAAACCCAGGUAAGGUUCUUCGGGUCGCAUCGAAUUAAGCCGCAUGCUCCGCCGCUUGUGCGGGGACCCGUCAAUUCCUUUGAGUUUUAACCUUGCGGCCGUACUCCCCAGGCGGUCAACUUCACGCGUUAGCUUCGUUACCAAGGAAUUGCUUCCCCGACAACCAGUUGACAUAGUUUAGGGCGUGGACUAC
rnacentral:misc_RNA from 1 species